ensembl:lincRNA
AUGCUGCCUUCCUCCCCCGCCUCGGCCUGCCGGAGAGUGCGCCCCGGAACAGUUGAGGCCCGCCGGCUCCCACUUCUGGGCUCUCUCACCUCAUUGCCCCGACAGCCAGGAGUUCACAGGAAAGGAAGAAUCCACCCGCCUGCCCCGGAAGGACGAGGCCCAAGCCCUCUGGCCACCCAGGAGGAGCUCCAGGAGCUCGCCUGUCGCCCCCUCUGCCCUUCCGGGCUCUUUCCUGCGGUCCUGCACAAGCCAAGGGCUCCUUCGGGUGCCUCCCACCCCCCAGGCCUGGGGCAGGGCCUGCAGUCCGCCAGCCACUGCUGCUCAGCUCAAGCCCCUGGCGUCCUGGUCAAGGUCUCUGCGGGGAGAACAGUGGCCCCGCCACAGCCCCAGUGGGGCUGGAGGAGGACGGCUGUUUGUUGCAGGUGGGAACCAACGCUUAGACCCCUGCCCCGCCCGGUCCUCAGCCGGCCUGCUGGUCUGUGUCCGCCUGGUGACACGGCAGUGUUUGCCAUGUUCCCGGCACUUACCCACGUGGCCAUCUCCCUGGCGGUGGAGGCCCCCGGUGGGAUGGCCACUGGGUGGUUUCCAGGGAACUGUGCAGCUUCUGGGGGAAGAGGGAGGCCUGACGGGAGUGUCUGUGUGGCCCCCAUGGCCCUGUCUACCUGCCGCUUGUGGACAGCAGGCAGAGGCAGGCUUCACUCAGUGCCCUGCUGCUCCUGGAGAACCAGUCCUGCAGACGACAGGCUUCUCUCUCAGCCCGGCUCAGCCUCAUCCCCUGGCCGUCCCCAGUGAGCGCCCAGACAGCGACUUUGAGGUGAGGAUUCUCAUGCAGGAGGUUUAUUGGAACCGGCCCCUGGGUCACCGACAGCGAGGGGAGGCGUCUUAGUUACUUUUCUCAUCACUGAGACGAAAUGCCUGACGCCCAGGGUCACAAGGGGAGAGGUUUAUUUGGCUCACGGUUGUAGAGGCUCAGUCCCGUCAGCUAGCUCCAUGCGGGGCGGAUGGCAGAGGGGCAUCGCAGCGGGGAAACAGUUCAUCCACGCCAAAGCUGGGCAGGCAGAAGGCAGCAAGCAGCAAGCCACAAGUGAUGAGUGACACAAUAGCCCUCUGCCUGUCCUUUACAUCGUAUUCAGGCUCCUGGAUCUUGGAGUGGGAAUCACUCUCACCCAGGGUGAGGCACCCCUAAUCCUACCCAGAACUGUGCCAAACCAGUCAGGGGACCAAUUUAGCAAUCACACAGCCUUAAUCCCAGCAUCUCGCACACUGUUGAUCCAGCACCUCUGAAAAGCCCCACCUCUGACUGCAUGAGGCUUCGGGGGACAUACAGACACCGCUCUGAGCUGAGGGACACCUCAGGCAGAGUCCCAGAAUCUGCCAGUCCAGACCCAGGAGCCUCUGGAGUGUAAAUUUCACCUGUGGUCGUCAUCGGACUUUCACAUCCCCAAGUCAGGUCUGUCCUCAGCAAAGGGACAUCAGAGGGGACAUAAACUGCAGGCCCUUCUGUACUUUUGCACAGCAAAUGUGGCCAGCAGAGGGGACCUGGCAGAGCACCCGUGCCCUGCCCCCUCCUGGCUCCCUUCCUCCAGGGGACCCCCAUCCUGUUCUCUCUCCAGCUUCCUUGCAGCGUGGGGCACUGUGCCUCCCCAGGCACACAGCACUUUAAAACAGUGGCUGCUGUCCAGAGCCCUCUACUGCACCCUGUUGCUGGCUAUGAACUCACCUUAGAAAUCUGCAUGGAUGCCUUUUAAAUUUUAUAAGGUAUUCUUGUUAGUUGUAAAGAAAAGUUCCCAAGCAUACAAAGGUGCUUAUGGCCACAGUGGAGAUUUCCUGCUGCUCUCUUUCUGGGGCAGGUUUCUGGCCAGAGGCUUCCUCGAGGAUUAAACAGCUCUGAGGUGGAUGUAGAGAGCUCCUGGUGGCUGCCAGAGCACCAACCCUCACGCCUGAGGUGGUCCAGUCACUCUGGCCUUCCUCAGCCUGUGCAGAGGCCUGGUCAUUCUAGCUGUUGACUUGGAGCUCACAGCACUGCACUGGCAGCUGUGUCCCAGCCCGCACGGCAGUGUCCUCUAUUCC